rnacentral:lncRNA from 12 species
AUGCUGGCCUUCUCUGAGCCUCACUUUUCUCAUCAGCAAAAUGGACAUAAUACCACCUGCUUUUCUGUGUUUGUUCAUUCACAGUUUGGUGUGAAACAAGGAGUAUGUCAUACAGCAGCACAGAGAAGAGGGGAGAUCAGGAGCUGGGAUAAGUCAGUCUUUGCCAUGCCUGUCCACCCACUAAGACUUCAUCACUUCAGGCAAGCCUGCUCAUUAUUCUGGGCCUCUUGAUCUCUAACAUGAGCAUUUAAAUACCCACCCAUAGCAUUUAACUGGUUAUUUCAGAGUAAAAGAUGAAAUGAUUUCAUUGUAAUUAUUAUUAUGGUUACUUAUGAUGGUCUGAGAGGAGAGUUCUUUCAAAUGUUAGAAAUCCCUUGGGUAAAAAAAAAAAAAAAAAAAAAAAAGAAAAAGAAAUCCCUUGGGUCAAGGAGCAUAAGAACAUUGUUCUUCUAUGACCAGUUCAUUUCAACUUUCCACAUAAAUUAAAACUAACUGUAAAAGGAUAUGUUUAAAAAUAUUUCUGACUUGACCACCUGGAACUCUUAAUGGACUAGCGUAGAAGUUUGGGUCCUCUGAGAGGC